rnacentral:rRNA from 1 species
CCUACGGGCGGCACCAGUGGGGAACUUUCCGCAAUGGGCGAAAGCCUGACGGAGCAAUGCCGCGCGGAGGUAGAAGGCCCACGGGUCGUGAACUUCUUUUCUCGGAGAAGAAACAAUGACGGUAUCUGAGGAAUAAGCAUCGGCUAAUUCUGUGCCAGCAGCCGCGGUAAGACAGAGGAUGCAAGCGUUAUCCGGAAUGAUUGGGCGUAAAGCGUCUGUAGGUGGCUUUUCAAGUCCGCCGUCAAAUCCCAGGGCUCAACCCUGGACAGGCGGUGGAGACUACCAAGCUGGAGUACGGUAGGGGCAGAGGGAAUUUCCGGUGGAGCGGUGAAAUGCGUAGAGAUCGGAAAGAACACCAACGGCGAAAGCACUCUGCUGGGCCGACACUGACACUGAGAGACGAAAGCUAGGGGAGCAAAUGGGAUUAGAUACCCCAGUAGUC